rnacentral:rRNA from 1 species
CGUGUAGGCGGCCAGGUAGGUCUGCUGUGAAAACUCGAGGCUCAACCUCGAGACGUCGGCGGAAACCAUCUGGCUAGAGUCCGGAAGAGGAGAGUGGAAUUCCUGGUGUAGCGGUGAAAUGCGCAGAUAUCAGGAAGAACACCCGUGGCGAAGGCGGCUCUCUGGGACGGUACUGACGCUGAGACGCGAAAGCGUGGGGAGCGAACA